ensembl:lncRNA
GUCCGGGUGCCAUAUAAGCACGUUAACUUCUUGCGCUUUCUAUGGUGGCCCAAUGGAGACACUACAGCGGAGCCAGAGGAAUACAGGAUGUGCGUGCAUUUGUUUGGAGCUGUAUCCUCUCCAAGCUGCUCAAACUAUGCACUGAGGAGAACUGCUGAGGAUAAUGCACUGCAAUAUUCACCCGAUGUCCUUCGUACAGUCAAGGCAAAUUUCUACGUGGACGACUGUCUUAAGUCCACUGUGACAGAGGAAGAUGCAGUGAAGCUCAUACAUGGAUUAACAUCUCUCUGUAAAAAAGGUGGCUUCCAUCUCCAAAAGUGGGUCACAAAUAACUCAAAUGUGUUUGCACUUAUUCCUAGCAACAUCAGAGCAGUGGCUUUGGAGAACAUGGAUUUGGACAGGGACCAACUCCCUGUGGAAAGAGCUCUGGGGAUGCAAUGGUGUGUUCAAGGAGAUACGUUCAGCUUCAGGACUGCAGUGCAGGAACGUCCACACACUAGGAGGGGCAUCCUUUCUGUGAUGAAGCUUCUCGAGGACUAAGAGCUCAGGAGUUUGGAAAAGGAAAAUGGCUAAAAGGACCGGACUUUUUGCACCUGCCCCCCACCAGAUGGCCGAAACUCGACUUGGACGCCUCUUCCAUUCCAUCGGAUGAUGCAGAGGUGAAAAGGGAACUUAAGGUGAAUGCUGUUACAAUACACAGUGACAAUCCCCUCAGUCAGCUCAUUCACUAUUUUUCAUCCUGGAGAAAGCUUAAAACAUCAGUGGCCUGGCUGUUGGAGCUUAAAGAAAGACUUUUACUUUUGAGCCGAAAGAGAAAGGAAUAUGUGGUCAACCAGAAUGAGAAUGUGGAAAAGGAGAUAAAAAAAAUUCAAAGCCGCACUUGGAAAAUCCAACUUGACACCAGAGCGGUUGGAGGAAGCCGAAGAGGCAAUAAUUCAGUUUGCGCAAAACCAAAGAUUCAGUACUGAAAUUUCCUCACUAAAACAUGACCCAAAGACUGUUUUUAAAGACAGUCCUCUGUAUCGCCUCGACCCCUUCAUCGAAGAUGGCAUCCUCAGAGUUGGUGGACGUCUGUUUAAGUCUGUUCUGCCGUGGGAGGUAAAGCAUCCUGUGAUUCUGUCAAAGGAUUUGCAUGUUUCCCAGCUCAUAUUGCG